rnacentral:misc_RNA from 1 species
AACUUUUAGCAACGGAUCACUUGGUUCUGGCAUCGAUGAAGAACGCAGCGAAAUGCGAUAAGUAAUGUGAACUGCUGAGAUAGAGUGAAUCAUCGAGUCUUUGAACGCAUAUUGCGCCUGGCACCUCGUGUGUCGGGCACGCCCGUCAGAGCGUCAUCAACCAAAUUCUAUCCCCCUAGACCUGGCCCCUGCAGGCCCUAGGGGGGCGCUGGGGGACUACUAUAGAACCGCUAGAAGGACCUACUUUCUAGUGAACGGGUAGCCCCUGUAAUUGAUUGGCAGCCUAGUGAAGAUAGACCCUAUAUGCCCCUACGAGGUGGUCUUUAUAGAACGUCGUAGGAGGGCUACGGGGGAGCCUAUGGCCUGCUCAUCUAUGGUGAUUAUUCCUUCUAGAGAGUUGACCUCGGAUCGGGUGGGGAUACCCGCUGAACUUAAGCAUAUCAAUAAGCGGAGGCU